UGGGGUGUCGCCAAGUGGUAAGGCAACGGGUUUUGAUCCCGUCAUGCGUAGGUUCGAGUCCUACCACCCCAGCCA
rnacentral:tRNA from 1 species